UAAAUCAUAAUCUAGAAAACAGGAGAUAGAAAAUAAUAAAUUGUUCUUCAAAAUAAAAGGGAUAAAUCAUAAUUUAGAAAACAGGAGAUAGAAAAUAAUAAAUUGUUCUUCAAUUCACUAGUACACAAGGCUUUUGUUGGUGCGAUGCAAUUUAUAUAGAUGGUGCGGUUCACUCAAACACCGCACCUUUACAUCUUGGUUUACAAAUUCCACCAACUUUAUAUCUUCCAUUUACAUUUUCCCCCCUUUUGUUGCCCUGAAAAUUUUAUUUUCCCUGUAUUCCCGCUUGUUUCCAUUUACGUUUUCCCUCCCUCAGGAAUUUCUCACCCUCACAAACCCUAAUCGAACCCAAACCCUUUCUAUCACAUCCAUCUGGUUCCCUUUAGCACCACUCACUAUGGAUACCUUCCAGUGCACCAUCGUUGCCCUCUAUUGCACCGUCGUUUCCAUGUAGUUCAGCGCAUCUCUCCUGUCCGUUGUGUCCAGUUGUCCUCUAAGUUCAUAUGAGUUGAGUUGGACAUGGUGAAGAUUCAUGUACUUGCAAAGGAUAAAAGUUGGAACUGUUGAAUGCGCUUCAGGUUAUAGUUAAGACACUUCGAAUGCUUUACAUAUACUGUCUUUUUUGCUUCUGUUUUGUUUUUAUUUUUUUUCUCCACAAUUUAGUUGGUCUGAUUUGGCAUUUAGUUGAUUAGGUAAAAAUAUAGGCAGGUGGAUCGUAAUAUGUAUAUGGUCAAAAUUUCUGAAUAUCAAUGGCCACUUGUUUAAAAAGUAUUUACACUUAUAAAAGAUUGUGACAUAGUUUGGUUAGUAUCAGAUAAUUCUACCAUGGUGUAUAACUUGUCAGUUUGGGGCUGAAUUGACCAAUAAAAUGUGUAUUUAAUUCACAAAUUCACUCUAGCUGUUUGAUAAAAUGCCUCAGUAAACUGUAUGUUGUAGGCUUGUAGCAUCAUUAACAAAAGUGUUUGAUGAGUUGCAGUAGGCAAAAUAAGGGUCGCCACAAAGAUGUUGCCAUUCAGUUAUGAGCUCUAUGAUGUUUUUAUAAUUUAAACAAUCUUGAUUCUUCUAUAGGACAAUUGAUAUGAAUGUACCAAUUACUGACCCUGUUUCAGUUUGUGUUGUAGGAGCAAAGUUUUGAGAGGGUAAAUGUUAACAUAAGCAAAACCAAAUCCAUUAGUUAAUGAUUUGUUUAGAGUAUUCUGCCCUUUCAAUUUGAGGUAAUUGUUGGUUUAAAAAUCCAUUAACCUGGUUUGUGAGUCAAGUAAGGUCUAACUGAGAUAAAUAAAUCUUAUGUCUUUAAUAAAAACUUUUAGGAAAUCCUUUUUUUUUGCAGAAAUAUGAAGCACAAGGCGGAUCUGUGUUUUUCUUUGUCAUCAACAUACAGGUUUGGCUUUAUGUUUUUAUUAAGUCAAUGAUGUUGACCAUUCGAGCUUUUUAAUUGAACUGAUCGUGGUUUGUGAUGAACCUAGGUCCUGUGGCUACUGCAUAUAAUCUUUUUUUUUUAUUACACGACAAGAAGUCCUUUGAAAGAAUCUUCUUCACUAGAAUGGUUUUUGAACGGUGAUGAUACUUUUAGGUAAAAUAUAUGUUUACAUGUAGGUAAAAUCAUAUAUAAACCUUAGUUAUAACUUUAUUUUAGAUAAGGGAUGCUAAAAACCUAUGGGCUAUAUAUACAAAUUUAUAUAAUCUUCUUGCGCCUCGGGUACGAAAAGCCCAACGCUUUUGCGCUUUGGCUUCGGGCCUCAUUUUUAGACCUCUUCGCUUUUGUGCGCCUCUCGCUUUUUAAAACCAAGAUAUAUAUUAAAAAUGUUGAAUGGUUAUGCAGAGCAUGACCCAUGUGUGUUGCUAUUGAAUAUGGCCGACUCGCUAGUGGAGGUCGCUAAUGGUAUGGCAUGGUCAACCUUAGAGUCGGUCAUACAUCAGAAGCCAUAACUGGACAAAUGAAAUUAAGUUUGUUAUGAAAUAUGUUUCGUGUUGUCGUUCAGUGGCCAAGACAUGCACUAAAGCUCGCGAACAAAGAGACACUAAGCAAGUCAACUAGUGCCACGAGCAUGGCCUCGAGUGGUGGGUCACCAAGCUGUACUGGCGCCUUGCUACAAAUCCCCGCCGAUGACACCGCAACGACACCAUAUCAUCGUUAACAGGCGGUUUCUACGGAUUGGGUUGCAAGGUUUGAAAAGGUCAGUUCGGGUUGCAAGGCGUAUGAAGUCGUCGUUUUGAUAUAAGUUAGAUUCUUUCUUUUUGGGAUGCUAAGGUUUGAACAUGUCAGUUCGGUUAAGGUCACUGUAUACGUUUGUGUUUCAUUCCGGAAACAUGUACUUUUCGGAAACGUGUUUAAUAUAAGUUAGAAAUUUUUGCUUGUUAUUUGUUUUUAUCAUUCAUAUAUACAUUUCUGUAAUAUUUUGGGUUUUUACUGGAUAAUAUAAAUGAAAACUCAUGGAAUAUCAAAUGGUUCCAAAUAUUAAAUGGUGGUGCGGUUCCAAAUAUUAAAUGGGGCUAUUGUGUUUGAGGUACAAAGUUAAUAAAAGGUG